rnacentral:rRNA from 1 species
UACGGAGGGGGCUAGCGUUGUUCGGAAUUACUGGGCGUAAAGCGCACGUAGGCGGAUUGUUAAGUCGGGGGUGAAAUCCCGGGGCUCAACCCCGGAACGGCCCUCGAUACUGGCAGUCUUGAGGACGGUAGAGGCUAGUGGAAUGGCGAGUGUAGAGGUGAAAUUCGUAGAUAUUCGCCGGAACACCAGUGGCGAAGGCGACUGGCUGGACCGUUACUGACGCUGAGGUGCGAAAGCGUGGGGAGCAAACAGG